UGGGGAAUAUUGGACAAUGGGCGCAAGCCUGAUCCAGCCAUGCCGCGUGAGUGAUGAAGGCCUUAGGGUUGUAAAGCUCUUUCAACGGUGAAGAUAAUGACGGUAGCCGUAGAAGAAGCCCCGGCUAACUUCGUGCCAGCAGCCGCGGUAAUACGAAGGGGGCAAGCGUUGUUCGGAAUCACUGGGCGUAAAGCGCACGUAGGCGGAUUGUUAAGUUAGGGGUGAAAUCCCGGGGCUCAACCUCGGAACUGCCUCUGAUACUGGCAAUCUUGAGUUCGGGAGAGGAGUGUGGAACUCCGAGUGUAGAGGUGAAAUUCGUAGAUAUUCGGAAGAACACCAGAGGCGAAGGCGGCACUCUGGCCCGAUACUGACGCUGAGGUGCGAAAGCGUGGGGAGCAAACAGGAUUAGAUACCCCCGUAGUCC
rnacentral:rRNA from 1 species